rnacentral:lncRNA from 1 species
UAAUUCCGUCACUAAAUCCCACAAUCUCUCUGCCUCAGCCGCCUCCAACGCCGUCACCUUCUCCCUGCACUCCGCCAAUCUCUUCAAACAACAACCCAAUUCCACCGCCUCCCCAAAGUCGAACAACCCCAAUCCGAAUCACCACUGCCUACAAAACAAUAACAUUCAAUCAAUUUGAUCCACCAAGGAAAAUAAAUCACCAAGCCAAGCACAGAUACCUCCACGAAAAAAACAAACAAACUAGUGCACGGUGCACCGCUUGGAGGCAGUGGAUGGGAUGAGAAAUCCAUAGAUGAAUUUCAUCUCUUGAUCUUCAUCAUCAACAUACCCAAAAACAAACCCCCAUCCAGAUACAUCUCCAAAAAC